rnacentral:sRNA from 2 species
GGCUACUUGGUCCAGCAGAAGUAUUUGUUUGGUUGCUGCUGUGUGGGACGUUCGGAUGUCCAGCGGGGUCUACGGACGCACCACAUAAUUUGUGCAGAAGUCCAGAGAGGAUCUUGAAUCCAGCUUCAGAAGUCUGAUGGAUUGCCCGCAUGAUACGGCUCUGGCUAAACUAUUUUUGAAAUAGUCGAACAGGAAUUGAUGGCUGUGCGAUCGAGACGCUUCCCCUGGCCUAAACUGGUGCUCCCGACAUGUCUCAUGUUCGAAGCCAUCUCUCAUCCACGCCGCUCUCAUUGGCACGUUGGCGAGGCGGAUGACUUGGAGGGCUGCUUCGCGUAUCUUGGCUGGGUUGACCACCGAACUCACGGAGCCACAAACCACGGCAG